UGCGACCCCAGGUCAGGCGGGACUACCCGCUGAAUUUAAGCAUAUCAAUAA
rnacentral:rRNA from 1 species